CAACAACAACAAUCCAAACUCAUAGACAUAGGGAAGAGACUGGUGGUUGCCACAGGUGGAGGUGGGGAUGGUGGCACAAUGGGAGAAGAGGUCAAAAGGAGAUUCAGCUGAAAUAUUUUAGGAUGGUGGGUCUUCAUAGCUCCAAUUUCCUGUCCAAUGGUUCAGCAGCUAAUGCUAGUGAGCAGCUGCCUUAGGCCAGGCUUGGGGCUGCACUUGAGGAAACCCCAUGGCCUGGAACCCCCAGCCUGUCUAGUGGCCAGUGAGUGAGUGGCCAUCCUGGAAGUCCAUUCUGGUCCCUGUAUUCGUGCUGAGAUCUGGGGGCAACACUGCACCAGACGCCAACCCAAUGAGGCCUCUCCCAGAGCCAGGGCCUCAGCCAGGACCACCGUCCUAGGGUCAGAGAGCCCUCAGCAAAGACCUGCAGGCCAAGGGACUCCUUUGGCAGCAAAGAAGGAGCAACAGAGGGCAUGUGAGUGCGGCAGCCACUGCCCCACCAAUCUGCUCCACUGGAAGCUUUGUCCUGGCAAAGCAGUGAAAUAAAUACACAGGUAAGGUGCCAGCUUGGAGGUAUCACCCCGCCAGGACAGGGAGCCGCCUGCAGGAUGUGCUAUGCUCCUUAAACCAACAGCUGCUCCACAGGUAGAGGAGGUGGGUCUGGGAGCCAAGGGAUCAAAGUGGUUACGGCCGGCCCUGUUCCUUCCAGUGAGCUCUUGAGGACUCAGGGCUUCCUGUCCUGGCAACUUUCCACCCUUGAAUCUGGAGGUCCUGGCUCCCAUGGGCGGGGGGUGCUUCCAUCGGGGUCACAGUGAGCCCCGCUUCGACCCACCGUGCCCACUUUUACCAUGAGUGUGCAAGUACAGUGAACAGAGGGCAUGAGUCCCUACGGGGAUGAGAAUCUGGGUCACCCCAGAAGACGAGCCACCUGGGCCGGCAGAGGGAUGAAAAUUCAGCAUGGGUCAUGCAAAAGGGAAAUGAGAACCAGUUAUGGCCUCCGGAACAGCUAUAGGAGUUCGCUUCUCUAACCUCCCUUGGAACGUCCCCCCAGACAUCAUGACCACACAGUCCUGGAGACAUAGUACCCAGUGGAGUGAACUUCGCGCGAGAAGCAAUGGGUGCUGAGAGCUGCUGGGCCUAUGUUCAGGGGGUUGUGGGUGCCACAGCCACACCUCAUUACUGGACUGGUGUGUCCACCCGCUGAUGCCUGCAGAGGGGCUGCCUGUGUGGAUGGCUCCACUCGGUGACUGACCGUCACAGUGCGCAGUGGUGUCCGGUGGGACUGUCUCUGGCACAUCUCACCCCACAGCCUCCUGUGGGGUCAGGGAAAGCCACCUCAGCUGAGACCGCAUCCUUGCUUACCUUUGUCCCUGGCCCAUCCUGCUUCCCUCCUCCUCCUGAAAACCUCCUUCCAUAAACCACUUCCCCAAAUAUCCCUGUGAAGCUCUGCGCUUAGGCACCACCUUGGGUUCUCCUGGCCUCACCUGGCUCUUGGGCCAUCAGCCCCUUGCUCCUGGAGCACCCCAGCUAUCACCCCUCGUCAUCUCAGUGUCUCACCUCCCUGGGGCCUUGUCCUAGCUGGUGGUGCACCUGUCUUGCUCAGAGCUGGAACAGCGCCGGGUUCGGGGGCCCCCCAAGGCGUGGGACUUAGCGGUUCUGGACUCGCAGCAGGGGUAACCCUCGUAACAUCAGAGAGUUGUUACGUAGGUUCAACAAGAGUCCGCUCGUGUGUACCUCGUUUCCACAGCGCCGGGCACAUAGUAGGACUCAGUAAAUUCGCGCUGUGGUUGCUGUCACUUUGUGGCCUGCCCAUCCGCACCUGGGCCGAAGCUGGAGGGCUGGGAGUGGGGCUGCUCAGUACAAGCUGGCUCCUCACGUUCUACCUCCUGUAGAGCGGAAGCAGUACGUGGUGAUUUAGGUUGGUCCUGGGGCAGACUUUGGACUGAGGCCAGAGACGUGUAGCAUGGCCACUUUUGCUGCAAGUACAGAGAAGCAAGGAGGCCGGGUCUGCUGCGGAGAGAGACAAAUGAAGCAAACCCACUGGGGGAAAGAAACAGGAGACAGGGAGGGGGACAUCUGGACAGUAGUGACAGCAAUCCACCUCCUGGUUCCAGACCUGGCUCCUGAUUAAUCUGCUUCUGGUUUCAGCCAGGUGGAGAGGGUAUCUCUUCCUGCAACCAGGUGUCUGGACGGAGACAUUAGGAGAAGUGCAACAUCCAGCCCCUGCUUACUACCCAGCCCCCUCACCCCAGAGGGAGUAAUGGGAGGUGCUGGCCAGGUAAGGGACCCAGGCUGCCCAAGUGACGAGGGCCACCAGCCCCACGAGGACGGAGACCGUGCUGCCUUGUUCACGCUGCGCGCUCUGUUGACCGCACAUCCAAGCUGCCCAGGAAACCUCUGCGGAUGAACAGACGGUUCGAGCUGCCUGGGGCUGCUGAGCCGGGGACGGGGUCUCUCCGGGAGGCUUCCUGGAGGAGUGGGCCAGAGCCGAUGUCUGGACAACCAGCUCAUACUCCCGGGGUCUCACGGCCACCAGCCAGCAGCAGUGCAGGCACUGACCUCGGCUUCACAGAUGGGGCACUGACCCCCCGAGAGGGCAGGGCUGAGCCCAAGGGCAUCCACAGCAGAACUGGCACCAGAACAGGGGUGGCCUGGCCCUGAGACGAGAUGGGCUUGGGGGCACAGGGGUCCCCGAUGACAGACAUCCAGAGAGUAGCUGCAUGAAGCGAGAAGCCGGAGUUUCUUGGAUGCAGUAAGGGAGCGAGCUCAGGACAGGAGCACCCUCUCUCCCUCC